UACGGGGGGGGGCUAGCGUUGUUCGGAAUUACUGGGCGUAAAGGGCGCGUAGGCGGUCUGCUAAGUUGGGUGUGAAAACUCUGGGCUUAACCCAGAGCCUGCAUUCAAAACUGACAGGCUAGAGUUCUGGAGGGGAUAGCGGAAUUCCUGGUGUAGCGGUGAAAUGCGUAGAUAUCAGGAGGAACACCGGUGGCGAAGGCGGCUAUCUGGACAGAGUCUGACGCUGAGGCGCGAAAGCUAGGGGAGCAAA
rnacentral:rRNA from 1 species